UUCCACCCCAAGACCAUCUAUUGUUACUUCUCCCUUGGUUCUGGUCUGUGGCACUUGUCUCUAAACUGCACAUGGUUUCUGGGCAUUGUCCCUAUUUUUAUUUCUCACUGAAGUCAUUUUCUUCAUCAUUCCCACUCCUAUUUUCUCUCCACCCUCUGCCCUGAAGUCAGGGGACCUAAAAGUUUGUCACAGCCUCCCUCACUGCAACAUCAGUCCACAGAUGGGAAGUCCCAGCUUGCAGAAGUGAUGCUGGACAAUGCAAAUAAUACAAUUCUCCAUUUCCACAGUCACUCUUGGGGAAAAGGAAGGAUCCUGAUCCUGGGAAUGCUGAGGCUCCUAUUGGAUAUCAGUCAAAUUGGAGUUUCAUUUCAUUUCCUGGGUCUUCUGUUCCCUGAUUUCCAGAGUGGAAGAGUGCAUUUCUUUAUUGAAAGUAACUCAUUAAACUCUUCUGAAAAAGGGACUCUUCCAGGAGCCUGGCAGAGUGAGGCAGGGGUGGCAGUCACAGCACACCACAUGUGCUCACCAACUGUGCAGUUUGUGGCUGUUCUGGGUAGGUGUGAGUCGAACCCUGACCUUUUUUAUUAG
rnacentral:lncRNA from 1 species